GCAUCGUUAGCGCAGUAGGCAGCGCAUCAGUCUCAUAAUCUGAAGGUCGUGAGUUCGAUCCUCACACGAGGCA
rnacentral:tRNA from 1 species